ensembl:lncRNA
UGCCCUGUGGGGCUGCAGCAGUGGACACCGUGGAGCUCGGGGUAGGACGUAGUUUGUGUCUGCAAGGCUGUAUGGGGGCUGUGGGAUCCAUCCCAUGGGGCUGUAGGGGGAUGCCCUGAGGGGCUGCAGUGGGUUGUAGGGUCAAGGGGAUGCUCCAUGAGCUGCGUGGGGGAGGGGCUGUAGCAAAACCCCAGCAUGAUGUGACCUCGUCCAGCUCCUGCGCUGAUCCCUGUUUUCUCUCUCCCGUCCCACUGGGGAGCAAUGAACGGCUGCGUGGUGCUGAGCUGCCUGCCGGGUUAAACCACAACAGCAGAAAAAUGAUGUUGACAACUUACACAAAAUACCUUGAGCACCUGCAAGCCCAUCAAGGACAUCACUCUACGGCACAUCCAGCAAACACCUGCCUGGAGAUCUCUGCUCUGAGCUGAGAUAAAUACAUUCUUCAGCUCCCUCAACAGAGCAGCUAUUCACUUGGACGAUCUGCAUGAUUUGUCCAGCUGCCAGAUUUUGAGCCUUGGUCUUCAUCCAGGAGAAACAGAUACCAAGUUGGGCGGCUUUUGCCUCCAGGCAUCCAAGCGUGUGUUCCAGGUGUAGUGCUGACUAACCGUCAGGAGCCACAGCGUCCGCAGAGCAGAGGUCAGUGAAGGUCACUCAGAGAUCCUGAGCAAUGCAUCAGAGUUCUUGAGCCCCGGCACUGAAGGCCCAGCACCACGGCGUGGGGAUGCCAGCUUUCCAAGCAGAUCCAUUGCUCCGUUACCCCUGGUAGCCCUGUGAUCAUGUGAAGGUCAACUCUUGGUGAGAUCCCCAGGCAAUGGAAUCACGCUGGGGGAAGGACUUUACUCCUGUUCUGUCUUUGCAGCUAUAGCGGGACAAGGUUCAGCGUCCAGACUGCUAACAAAACAAAAUCGUUCUGGGCAGUCUUUGCAAGUCAGCGGCGGCUGAGUUUUGGCAAAGAGUGCAGGGGCAAAGCCUGGCACAGCACCAGGCGGUGACGCAGUUGGUCAGCAUCCUCUGCAGCCUGAUGGUUGACCUUUUCUUUUGCGCAAUAAGAAAGCAAUGUCCUUCCUCCAUCCCAGAGGGACUUGGCCAGACCCUCGGCACAGGAGCAACAUUCAUCUGCCCCAGCUUUAGGUGUCAACAGCAAACAUCUACAGUCCUCCUCAUCAACAUCAGCUUUCUUUAGUGACCCUCUUGUGGAGAAAUGCAGUUGCAUCUAAAGAUUGGUCUGUUGCUUUUGAUACCAACUUUAGUGUGAAGGCAAGCUCAUCCCUGGAGGUGUUUUAGGCCAAGUUGGAUCAGGCCCUGGACAAUUUCAUCUAGUGCCUGACUGAGUGGUUGGCAAUCCUGUCCCCAGCAAGGGGGUUGGAGCUCGAUGGUCUUUGAGGUCCCUUCCAACCUAAGCCAUUCUAUGAUUCUGUGAUUCAAAUCAAGCUCCAAUAUUGUGUCUGACAUUUAUAAUGCUAUGAUCUAUGUUUCUUGUGAAUUAUAAAGGUACUUCCUUGAGACACUCCACAGCCCACUCUAUGAGACCUUUUGCACAAAUGACCCUAAUCAUGCUAGAAAACAUAUGCCGGUCCCUUAAAGGCCCAUAAGCUUGGCAGCCGUUGGAGGGAUAUAACAUGCCUGUUGAGUUUGGGAGAUAGCACCAAGUUAAUCUCUACAGCAGCUUUUCAUUGCUGAAAUUGGAAGUAUCUCCACUUAGACAUUAUUAUGAGGGAUGCUCUGAAAGUAAUGCCUCCUAUUUUAUGAUGUUGGCCCACAGCAGAGGUGGAUGUUGGUGGUACGGCUGUAGAGUUUGAACCUUUCUACCAAUAUUCCAUUACAUUUUGUUGCCACAUGACAGAUGGCAGCAGAGGGAUGGUCUGACAGAACAGCAUCUAACAUGGAAGUGAUUUUGAAGCAAAGGUGUGGAAUUUAAUUCCUCCAUGUGGAAAAAAAUGGCGCUCAUUUACCUUCGUUGAUGCCUGAUGAACUUUUAUGGAGACCAAACAGAGGAUGUCAGCACAGUGAGGUGGUGGGUGGUGCAGGCGUGUGGGUUCUUGUUAAUCAAUGAUGAAAAUGCAUGGAUAAUGGUGGUGACUGUGUUGAAAAACAGUGUUUUAUAGCUGAGAAUUUUCUGUAUCAUAGAGUCAUAGAAUGGUUUGGGUUGGAAGGGACCUUUAAGACCAUCUAAUUCCAACCCCUCUGCUAUAGGCAGGGACAAAUAGUGUUUUCUGCUCUUUGUAUCUAUUACAGUUUCCACAGAAAUAAAUAAGAGGCAUUACUUUUGGAGCAACCUAUGUACAAGUAAUAAUGUUCAAAAAUCUGCUGAGGUGGUACCAUAAAUUAGAAAGAGAUUCUCAUGAACCAUUUCCACCCUGGCUCACCAGAGAGAAAGGCUCAUGGCUUCAGUUGUGUUUUGCCCCAAAUACAUCUUAUGCAUCCUUCAGGACUUUGUUUUCUGCAUGGUGCAGAUGACAUUGGUCAACCUCCACUGAUCAGUGGAGCAUCACAAAAGGGAUGGGGUUCUUGGCAGAUGUUCUAUUGGCAUCUUUCAGUUUGGUUCAGAUGUCUUCUGUGUCACAGCAAUGUCUGUUCUGCAUUUGCACACCACAGAGGAAGAGUUGAACAAGGGAGCCCAGCAGGACUCUCAUGGACCACAUCUGAUGUGCUGGGAAGUGAGCCCACAUGAUGAUAGUUUGUAUUACAAAGCUCUGGAGUCACUGAUGACAUGGCAGGAUCCAGUGACUUCAUUCAGGCAAGCUGUAAUACAUCUUUUUAUGUAAUACAUACAAUUUUUGUUCAGAUUUUAUUUUCUUAGCUAAUGUAUCGAUGAAAGCCUCAUGCUCUGAACUGAGACCUUGCAAUGGCAGGAUCGUAAGGAGCACAGAAAGAUACAAAAUGUUUUGGUGUUUGUAGGAGGUAUUUCUAAUUUAACUUUUUCCUCAUUGUCUUUCAUCUCAUGGAAUCAUAGAAUCAUUAGAGCUGGAAGGGACCCUUACAGGUUAUCUAGUUCAUUUCCCCUGCAAUGGACAGGGACACCUACAGCUAGAUCAGGUUGCUCAGAGCCCUGUCCAUCCUGACCUUGAGUGUCUACAGGGAUGGGACAUCAGACUUUGGUCAUGACUUAUUGAUAUUUCUCUAGUUAUUUUCAUCUCUUGAACUCUUCAGAGACCUUAAAGAAGCUGAAUGUUGGUUUUCUGAUAUCUUUGAUGGUUUUUUUUUUGUUUGCUUGUUUUGUUUGUUUUUUUGUUUUGUUUUGUUUUGUUUUGUUUAAAGGAGCUUUUGGGGAAGAAAAAGGGAACAUCCCUGAGUCCAAUCUGGAAAUCAGAUCCUUUGAAGCGUUCCCUCUUCUAUUUGCCAGUAAGCUGAGGUAAGCUGCUCUCUCCUUUGGAGCAGUUGGAGCAGUUCAUGUUAUUGAGGGAUGGAGAUGUAUGGUUUUUAACUUCUAGAUAGCCCAUCAGGAUGGGUCAGUAAAUCACCUAAGACUUCCCACUGGAUGAUGCAUUACCUUCUUUUAAUGUUGCAAACUGAAUAAAUCAGGCAAACAUUCUACAAGGAGCGUUUUGUACUACUUCUUCUUAACUUUCAG